rnacentral:rRNA from 1 species
AAUAUUGCACAAUGGGGGAAACCCUGAUGCAGCAACGCCGCGUCAGCGAUGAAGGCCUUCGGGUCGUAAAGCUCUGUCCUAAGGGAAGAUAAUGACGGUACCUUAGGUGGAAGCCCCGGCUAACUACGUGCCAGCAGCCGCGGUACUACGUAGGGGGCAAGCGUUACCCGGAAUCAUUGGGCGUAAAGGGGGCGUAGGCUGCCAUCUAGGUCAGAGGGAAAAGGCUGAGGCUAAACCGUAGUAAGCAUUUGAAACUGGAGGGCUUGAGUGCAGGAGAGGAGAGUGGAAUUCCUAGUGUAGCGGUGAAAUGCGUAGAUAUUAGGAGGAACACCAGUGGCGAAGGCGACUCUCUGGACUGAAACUGACGCUGAGGCACGAAAGCGUGGGUAGCGAACA